rnacentral:misc_RNA from 1 species
GUGAAUCAUCGAAUCUUUGAACGCAAAUUGCACUCUCCGGGAAUACUGGGCCUAUUUGAGUUUCAGCCUAUAAAAAUCGACAUCGUUGCUGUUUCGCGGUGGAGUUCGUCGGAUAUUGUGGCAUCUUAAAUCCUUUUGAUUUAAGCGACUUAAAAUUUUCUUUUGGUUCCAUGAACGAUGCUAAGAUCUAUUUCUUUACACGUUUAAGGUAUCGAUUUUUACUGGACGUGACCAUCAUAUCGGAUCGCGUGCAUAAUCUUUCAUUAACUGACCUCAGACAGGUAAGAGU